rnacentral:rRNA from 1 species
UGGUGGAGUGAUCUGUCUGGUUAAUUCCGUUAACGAACGAGACCUUAUCUUACUAAAUAGUUUUUGUAAAACUUUGUUUUAUCAAAAACUUCUUAGAAGGACUUUAUGUGUUUAACAUAAGGAAGUUUGAGGCAAUAACA